GACGAACGCUGGCGGCGUGCUUAACACAUGCAAGUCGAACGGAAAGGCCCUGCUUUUGUGGGGUGCUCGAGUGGCGAACGGGUGAGUAACACGUGAGUAACCUGCCCUUGACUUUGGGAUAACUUCAGGAAACUGGGGCUAAUACCGGAUAGGAGCUCCUGCUGCAUGGUGGGGGUUGGAAAGUUUCGGCGGUUGGGGAUGGACUCGCGGCUUAUCAGCUUGUUGGUGGGGUAGUGGCUUACCAAGGCUUUGACGGGUAGCCGGCCUGAGAGGGUGACCGGCCACAUUAGGACUGAGAUACGGCCCAGACUCCUACGGGAGGCAGCAGUGGAGAAUAUUGCACAAUGGGCGGAAGCCUGAUGCAGCAACGCCGCGUGCGGGAUGACGGCCUUCGGGUUGUAAACCGCUUUCGCCUGUGACGAAGCGUGAGUGACGGUAAUGGGUAAAGAAGCACCGGCUAACUACGUG
rnacentral:rRNA from 1 species